UACCUGUCUGACAGAUGUAAAUCUUCUAGUAGCUGUGCGUGCAAACUGCCAUCGUUAAUCUUGCAGAGACGGCGAGCUUGAGCGGGGAGUUCUUUGGCAUGAGUGAGCAGGAGUAAGUAUUCUGAUUAAUUAUUUUGUAUAGUAUUUUAAAAUGUAACGCCAGUACGCCAUAUUAAGUUAAUUGCCUGCGAGCUUCUCCUCCUGUCUGUAUGAUAAUUUCUCUACUGUGCGACAGAGAGUCGAGUGGUUAUGACGCAAUCGUUAGCCUCUUUUUACAAAAACUGUUUCUACGGGGCCAUUAUGUAACAUAGAAGGUAAUGGAUCCCUUUAUACAUUGUCGUGUAUCUUUAGAAAUAAAUAAUGGACAAAUGGAGUCUUUAAAUGCCUCAGAUGUAAAGUUAUUCGCUGUCAAAGUGACGUCAAGGGUGGUCGGCUGGACGUUCUGUGAUUCUCCAGACCACACAGAUGGCCAGUCCCCCCCUGGAGAUAAAUGAAUGUGAACACAUGCAUGAGAGGGAGAGAGAAAGAGACAUGAAUGCAACGUAAUACCCGCGCCACGUGGUCCACAGAUGCGUCUUCGGAUAGAGAGCGCUACGGAUAACAUUGACGAAUCACCGACAAUAAAAAACGACAAAUGGUCACGUCGUAUGGAUAGUUCACAUGUUUUAACACAAAAGAUAUCCGAGGUGGGUCCUAUUUAUCUAAGCGAAUCCAAUCUGAUGCCGCUGGUGGGGAAACCCCGCCCCACACGUGACAGACCAUAAAAUCUUUCGCACUAAGUUCACCGGUCACCGGAUGGUCACGCACACACUGGAUUCAUCUUUCACCUAAAGCACAGUUGUCACCGGAUGGUCACGUACCGGAGGUCUGGUGUCUAUUUUACAAAAAGUUUGUCUUUGAGCUUCUCAGAGAAGAAUCCGUCAUUUCCAGCAGUCUUAAGCAUCAGUCUCACAUAUCCACAAUCAGAGAUCUUCAGCAUUGACUGGAUACUCUUCUUACAGUGACUCAGCAAGACAGGAAAAGUAGCAGAAGAGGUCUGUGUCACUGGAUUGCUUUUGGAGGGGCUCAUGUUACUGAAGAAAUCACUGACCGAUCCAUACAGCACUGUGGUCAUUGAAGGGUUUGUGUGCUCCAUAGCUGUGCCGUUGACCUGUCUAAUGAUGUACACUGUUUAAGAAGGUUGAUUUUGUUUUACUUGGUCAAGACCACAAAACAAAAGAUGUUUUGCACAGCAUGGACAGAAAAUAUGGAACAUAAAAUCAAAAAUGUAUAUUAAAUGUUGUUUGCCUUUUUAAAUUAGCUAAAUUAGUUUAGUGUUAAAAUAAUCCAGAAUGUUCCUCAUGUUUUAAUUAAA